GAUGAACGCUGGCGGCGUGCCUAAUACAUGCAAGUCGAACGAAACUUCUUUAUCACCGAGUGCUUGCACUCACCGAUAAAGAGUUGAGUGGCGAACGGGUGAGUAACACGUGGGCAACCUGCCCAAAAGAGGGGGAUAACACUUGGAAACAGGUGCUAAUACCGCAUAACCAUAGUUACCGCAUGGUAACUAUGUAAAAGGUGGCUAUACUACCGCUUUUGGAUGGGCCCGCGGCGCAUUAGCUAGUUGGUAGGGUAAAGGCUUACCAAGGCAAUGAUGCGUAGCCGAAUUGAGAGGUUGAUCGGCCACAUUGGGACUGAGACACGGCCCAAACUCCUACGGGAGGCAGCAGUAGGGAAUCUUCCACAAUGGGCGAAAGCCUGAUGGAGCAACGCUGCGUGGGUGAAGAAGGUCUUCGGAUCGUAAAACCCUGUUGUUAGAGAAGAAAGUGCGUGAGAGUAACUGUUCACGUUUCGACGGUAUCUAACCGGAAAGCCACGGCUAACUACGUG
rnacentral:rRNA from 1 species